rnacentral:rRNA from 1 species
UCAAGCGAACAAGUGCAUGUGGUGGAUGCCUUGGCGAUCACAGGCGAUGAAGGACGCGGUAGCCUGCGAAAAGCUACGGGGAGCUGGCAAACGAGCUUUGAUCCGUAGAUGUCCGAAUGGGGAAACCCACUCCUUUUGGAGUAUCCAUGGCUGAAUACAUAGGCCAUGUGAAGCGAACGCGGUGAACUGAAACAUCUAAGUAACCGCAGGAAAAGAAAUCAACCGAGAUUCCCAAAGUAGUGGCGAGCGAAAUGGGAUGAGCCUUGCACUCUUUAUUUGUAUUGUUAGCCGAACGCUCUGGAAAGUGCGGCCAUAGCAGGUGAUAGCCCUGUAGGCGAAAACAGUAUGAAAGAACUAGGUGUGCGACAAGUAGGGCGGGACACGUGAAAUCCUGUCUGAAGAUGGGGGGACCAUCCUCCAAGGCUAAAUACUCGUGAUCGACCGAUAGUGAACCAGUACCGUGAGGGAAAGGCGAAAAGAACCCCGGGAGGGGAGUGAAAUAGAUCCUGAAACCGCAUGCAUACAAACAGUCGGAGCCUCGCAAGGGGUGACGGCGUACCUUUUGUAUAAUGGGUCAGCGACUUACGUUCAGUAGCAAGCUUAACCGUAUAGGGCAGGCGUAGCGAAAGCGAGUCCGAAUAGGGCGUUCAGUUGCUGGGCGUAGACCCGAAACCAGGUGAUCUAUCCAUGGCCAGGAUGAAGGUGCGGUAACACGUACUGGAGGUCCGAACCCACUAACGUUGAAAAGUUAGGGGAUGAGCUGUGGAUAGGGGUGAAAGGCUAAACAAACCUGGAAAUAGCUGGUUCUCUCCGAAAACUAUUUAGGUAGUGCCUCGUGUCUCACCUUCGGGGGUAGAGCACUGUCAUGGUUGGGGGGUCUAUUGCAGAUUACCCCGCCAUAGCAAACUCCGAAUACCGAAGAGUGCAAUCACGGGAGACAGACAUCGGGUGCUAACGUCCGGUGUCAAGAGGGAAACAACCCAGACCGCCAGCUAAGGUCCCCAAAUAUAGCUAAGUGGGAAACGAAGUGGGAAGGCUAAAACAGUCAGGAGGUUGGCUUAGAAGCAGCCACCCUUUAAAGAAAGCGUAAUAGCUCACUGAUCGAGUCGUCCUGCGCGGAAGAUGUAACGGGGCUAAGCUAUAUACCGAAGCUGCGGAUGCGUGCUUAGCACGCAUGGUAGGAGAGCGUUCCGUAAGCCUGCGAAGGUGCCUUGUAAAGGGUGCUGGAGGUAUCGGAAGUGCGAAUGCUGACAUGAGUAGCGAUAAAGGGGGUGAAAGGCCCCCUCGCCGUAAGCCCAAGGUUUCCUACGCAACGUUCAUCGGCGUAGGGUGAGUCGGCCCCUAAGGCGAGGCAGAAAUGCGUAGCUGAUGGGAAGCAGGUCAAUAUUCCUGCACCAUUGUUAGAUGCGAUGGGGGGACGGAUCGCGGAAGGUUGUCCGGGUGUUGGAAGUCCCGGUCGCUGCAUUGGAGAAGGCGCUUAGGCAAAUCCGGGCGCGUAAUUCAAGGGUGUGGCGCGAGCUCCUUAGGGAGCGAAGCAAUUGGAAGUGGUUCCAAGAAAAGCCUCUAAGCUUCAGUCUAACGAUGACCGUACCGCAAACCGACACAGGUGGGCGAGAUGAGUAUUCUAAGGCGCUUGAGAGAACUCGGGAGAAGGAACUCGGCAAAUUGGUACCGUAACUUCGGGAUAAGGUACGCCCUUGUAGCUUGACUGGCCUGCGCCAGGAGGGUGAAGGGGUUGCAAUAAACUGGUGGCUGCGACUGUUUAAUAAAAACACAGCACUCUGCAAACACGAAAGUGGACGUAUAGGGUGUGACGCCUGCCCGGUGCCGGAAGAUUAAAUGAUGGGGUGCAAGCUCUUGAUUGAAGUCCCGGUAAACGGCGGCCGUAACUAUAACGGUCCUAAGGUAGCGAAAUUCCUUGUCGGGUAAGUUCCGACCUGCACGAAUGGCGUAACGAUGGCCACACUGUCUCCUCCCGAGACUCAGCGAAGUUGAAGUGUUUGUGAUGAUGCAAUCUACCCGCGGCUAGACGGAAAGACCCCAUGAACCUUUACUGUAGCUUUGCAUUGGACUUUGAACCGAUCUGUGUAGGAUAGGUGGGAGGCUAUGAAACCGGAACGCUAGUUUCGGUGGAGCCGUCCUUGAAAUACCACCCUGGUUUGUUUGAGGUUCUAACCUUGGCCCGUGAUCCGGGUCGGGGACAGUGCAUGGUAGGCAGUUUGACUGGGGCGGUCUCCUCCCAAAGCGUAACGGAGGAGUACGAAGGUACGCUAGGUACGGUCGGAAAUCGUGCUGAUAGUGCAAUGGCAUAAGCGUGCUUAACUGCGAGACCGACAAGUCGAGCAGGUGCGAAAGCAGGUCAUAGUGAUCCGGUGGUUCUGUAUGGAAGGGCCAUCGCUCAACGGAUAAAAGGUACUCUGGGGAUAACAGGCUGAUACCGCCCAAGAGUUCAUAUCGACGGCGGUGUUUGGCACCUCGAUGUCGGCUCAUCUCAUCCUGGGGCUGUAGCCGGUCCCAAGGGUAUGGCUGUUCGCCAUUUAAAGAGGUACGUGAGCUGGGUUUAAAACGUCGUGAGACAGUUUGGUCCCUAUCUGCCGUGGGCGUUGGAUAUUUGAAGGGGGCUGCUCCUAGUACGAGAGGACCGGAGUGGACGAACCUCUGGUGUACCGGUUGUCACGCCAGUGGCAUCGCCGGGUAGCUAUGUUCGGAAGAGAUAACCGCUGAAAGCAUCUAAGCGGGAAACUCGCCUUAAGAUGAGAUAUCCCUGGGGACUAGAUCCCCUUGAAGGGUCGUUCGAGACCAGGACGUUGAUAGGUCAGGUGUGUAAGCGCAGUAAUGCGUUCAGCUAACUGAUACUAAUUGCCCGUAAGGCUUGAUCCU